AUUAAAGUGGCAGAAUAUAGUGCAAAGAAUUUAAGCUUCUUAAAUGAUUUAUAUCCUUUAAUA
rnacentral:tRNA from 1 species